rnacentral:rRNA from 1 species
AGUGGGGAAUUUUGGACAAUGGGCGAAAGCCUGAUCCAGCCAUGCCGCGUGCAGGAUGAAGGCCUUCGGGUUGUAAACUGCUUUUGUACGGAACGAAAAGGUCUUUUCUAAUAAAGAAGGCUCAUGACGGUACCGUAAGAAUAAGCACCGGCUAACUACGUGCCAGCAGCCGCGGUAAUACGUAGGGUGCAAGCGUUAAUCGGAAUUACUGGGCGUAAAGCGUGCGCAGGCGGUUAUAUAAGACAGAUGUGAAAUCCCCGGGCUCAACCUGGGAACUGCAUUAGUGACUGUAUAGCUAGAGUGCGGCAGAGGGGGAUGGAAUUCCGCGUGUAGCAGUGAAAUGCGUAGAUAUGCGGAGGAACACCGAUGGCGAAGGCAAUCCCCUGGGCCUGCACUGACGCUCAUGCACGAAAGCGUGGGGAGCAAACAGGAUUAGAUACCCUGGUAGUCCACGCCCUAAACGAUGUCAACUGGUUGUUGGGAAUUUACUCUCUCAGUAACGAAGCUAACGCGUGAAGUUGACCGCCUGGGGAGUACGGCCGCAAGG